rnacentral:pre_miRNA from 1 species
AUAGUACUCCCUCCGUUCGGAAUUACUUGUCGUAAAAAUGGAUGUAUCUACGACAAGUAAUUCCGAACGGAGGGAGUAUGUA